rnacentral:rRNA from 1 species
UGGCGGCUGUAGCGCGGUGGUCCCACCUGACCCCAUGCCGAACUCAGAAGUGAAACGCCGUAGCGCCGAUGGUAGUGUGGGGUCUCCCCAUGUGA